UCAAUUAUUAAUACAAGUAUUACAUAUAUGAAGAUUAGCUGAACAACAUCCAUUUCAGACUACAUUUUAGACAUGCAAAAUAAAUCGCCACCGAACCCUAGAAAUACUAUCCCGCGAAGAGAAAACCAAUGCUACACUUUCAGAUCGCUUCAUACAAAAUUUGACAUCAUCAUCGUCCUCAAUCUUUAUGUGCUUCCACUCAUUCGAGACCACCAAAACUGAGAACUUUAAGCAAACCUUGUCUUUCCUGCUGUUUGUAUUACCAAUUUGAUGCACACAAUUCAACAAUUCAGCAAAUGUGAUGGUCCGUGGAACUAUUAAGCCUUUUGAGUCAGCCCCUUC
rnacentral:lncRNA from 1 species